AACGAACGCUGGCGGCAUGCCUAACACAUGCAAGUCGAACGAGACCUUCGGGUCUAGUGGCGCACGGGUGCGUAACGCGUGGGAACCUGCCCUUAGGUUCGGAAUAACUCAGAGAAAUUUGAGCUAAUACCGGAUAAUGUCUUCGGACCAAAGAUUUAUCGCCUUUGGAUGGGCCCGCGUUGGAUUAGCUAGUUGGUGGGGUAAAGGCCUACCAAGGCGACGAUCCAUAGCUGGUCUGAGAGGAUGAUCAGCCACACUGGGACUGAGACACGGCCCAGACUCCUACGGGAGGCAGCAGUGGGGAAUAUUGGACAAUGGGCGAAAGCCUGAUCCAGCAAUGCCGCGUGAGUGAUGAAGGCCUUAGGGUUGUAAAGCUCUUUUACCAGGGAUGAUAAUGACAGUACCUGGAGAAUAAGCUCCGGCUAACUACGUGCCAGCAGCCGCGGUAACAC
rnacentral:rRNA from 1 species